rnacentral:rRNA from 1 species
UACGGGGGGGGUAAGCGUUGUUCGGAAUUACUGGGCGUAAAGGGCUCGUAGGCGGCCAACUAAGUCAGACGUGAAAUCCCCAGGCUUAACCUGGGAACUGCGUCGGAUACUGGAUGGCUUGAAUCCGGGAGAGGGAUGCAGAAUUCCAGGUGUAGCGGUGAAAUGCGUAGAUAUCUGGAGGAAUACCGGUGGCGAAGGCGGCAUCCUGGACCGGCAUUGACGCUGAAGCGCGAAAGCUAGGGGAGCAAACGGG